rnacentral:misc_RNA from 1 species
GAAAUGCGAUAAGUAAUGUGAAUUGCAGAAUUCAGUGAAUCAUCGAAUCUUUGAACGCACAUUGCGCCCGCCAGUAUUCUGGCGGGCAUGCCUGUUCGAGCGUCAUUUCAACCAUCAAGCCCCGCGCUUGUGUUGGGGACCUGCGGCUGCCGCAGGCCCUGAAAACCAGUGGCGGGCUCGCUGUCACACCGGGCGUAGUAGAUUUUAUCUCGCUCAGGGCGUGCUGCGGGUUCCGGCCGUCUUGCCAUAAAAGCCCAAACUUUUUUUGUUUUCUAUGGUUGACCUCGGAUCAGGUAGGAAUACCCGCUGAACUUAAGC